AUUCCAUGUUGAGGGCAAUGGACCAACAACUUUUUGAACCUCUCCCAGUAGGUAUGUAGGGCUUCUCUUUUUCCUUGUUUGAUACCAAGGAUUUCUCUUCUAAGACU